CCCAAGGUGGUGCAGUGGCAGCACGCCCAAUCGGUUGCGCGGUCGGUUAGGCCGUUACUGUGCGGGAAGGGGGGAAGGGAAGUUGGGAAACCCGGGUUCGAUUCCCGACUUUGGGG